GACGAUUAUGUCAACUACACUUCUCUGCACUUUAAGAAUAAGAUAAAGAACAAGCAAAGAAAGGUGGAAGAAGACCCUGUGUAUGCGAUGGUGUCCAAGCCAACGCGAGUUAGAAAGAAUGAACCAGAGAGCCUGCAGGACUAUGAAAACAUUAGUAAUGCAACUGC